UACAGAGGGGGCAAGCGUUAUUCGGAAUUAUUGGGCGUAAAGGGCGCGUAGGCGGCUUUUCAAGUGACGGGUGAAAUCCCUCGGCUUAACCGAGGAACUGCCUGUCAGACUGGAAGGCUUGAGACCGGGAGAGGUGAGUGGAAUUCCCAGUGUAGCGGUGAAAUGCGUAGAUAUUGGGAGGAACACCAGUGGCGAAGGCAGCACCCUGGGUCAAGAUUGACGCUCAUGCACGAAAGCGUGGGGAGCAAACAGG
rnacentral:rRNA from 1 species